GGUGUGAUUCAUGACUGGGGUGAAGUCGUAACAAGGUAACCCUAGGGGAACCUGGGGUUGGAUCACCUCCUUACCUUAA
rnacentral:rRNA from 1 species